rnacentral:rRNA from 1 species
UUAAAUGAAGAGUUUGAUCCUGGCUCAGGAUGAACGUUGGCGGCGCGCUUAAUGCAUGCAAGUCGAGCGAGGGAUAUUUUCUUCGGAAGAUAAUACCUAGCGGCAGACGGCUGAGUAACGCGUGAGUAAUCUGCCUUUAAGAGGGGAACAACUGUGAGAAAUUACAGCUAAUUCCGCGUAAUGUCUAAUGUCUAAUGAUAUUAGAAGAAAGGAUCAGGGUAACCUGGUUCGCUUUUAGAUGAGCUUGCGUCCUAUCAGGUAGUUGGUAGGGUAAUUGCCUACCAAGCCGAAGACGGGUAACUGAUGUGAGAGCAUGAACAGUCAGAGGGGGACUGAGACACGGCCCCCACUCCUACGGGAGGCAGCAGCAGGGAAUCUUGCACAAUGGGCGAAAGCCUGAUGCAGCGACGC